AUAACUAAAAUGCGUACCUACUGGUACUUCACUUAUAAAGAAAUAAAAUGUAAACUAAUAAUAUGCUUUAACACUACUAAAACCAACAACAACAACAAAAGAAAUCUGUCAAUAAGGUCGAACACUCUGAACGUCUAUUCGCAUCAACAGCCAAAUAUUGUAUGAACCUCGCACGCGGACCCGCCGCCUUUUUAUAGCUCCCACCGCGAAGCGCGUCGAACGCGGCAACUGAUACACAAAAAUAAUCCUUAUGGCAUGAUUCUGUAUUCACGCGCGAUGACUUAUAGCGUAUUUCAUGUUCAGUAGCACCUCGUUAAGUCGAACCUCGAUAAGUCAAAUACCUCCAAAUCUAGAAAAAAUGUUUUGUUCCCUUCCCCUCAAACACCAAAACCUCCAUUACUUGAAAUCUUGACCCUCUAUUAGUUGAAAUAAUCACCGAGUCCCUCCAAGCCAUUUUGGUACAUAUUUUCACUCUUUAACCGUUCGAAGAAGUUUAGUUGAUCUGCUCUUAAACAUGCAAUAACCUAUCUUAUUUUGCGUCCCUCUACUUUUAUCUCCAAUUCUUAAUUUAUUUUAUUUUAAUUGCCAUGGCUAAGUGCACGUUUAUAUUUAUUUUUUCUUAUUCGCAUUUGUUGCACGUAUAAAAAUGUAUGUAUCCAAACUGUGGAUACUGUUGUUGGUUGGACAGUUAUACCUGUAUUUAGAUUAAGUUUUAUUGUACAAUUAACCACUGUUCUGCUGUUUAUUAUCCCUAAUAAAGAAAAUAAAAUAAAAUAAAAUAACUCGAAAAAUUAACUUUCACCUUUGUAUCUCGACCAUAGCAACGUUUUAUUUUACAACCUUUAUCUACAACUUGAUCAUUUGGAAUUUAUUAUCUCUAUUGUUCGAACAAAAAUAAGUUGCCGACUUUAAGAACUUGAACUUUUUUGUGUACUUUUUAUGUAAAACAAUCGAUGUACAGCUGCUAAUGAGCCUUAAUAAAAUAAAAUAAAAUAAACUUGCCGACAAUGUAAGUACACUAUUGUUUCUUAGAAAACAUUUUAGGACUAUACCAUAAUAAAUUUAUGACUCACGUAAACACGUGUUUGCAUUAUCUGAUGACGAAAUUAUUUUUAUUUUAAUUGCCAUGGCUAAGUGCACGUUCUGAUGAGUCUUUUUCCCAGACAGAUGAAAAGAACUCUGCGAACAUAUUACUUAUUUUCAAUAUCUGUAUGUGCUGAACGAUUACCCAGAGUAAGCGUGGGAACGGACGAAGCGCGUUUUUUGUCUUUAAUGUAAGACCAAAAAAGUUUUGUAGAUUGGGGUAGCAACGCAACUUAUAUCGGUCAGUUUCCUAGCGGUCCGCCCCGGCUUCGCCCGUGGUACAUAUUUACGUUUUCUCUACAUAAAAACCAUCCUCGUACUUCAAGGAAUAUAAUAGAAAAGAAUUAUCGAAAUCGGUUCAGCCGUUCACACGUGAUGCCAUGACAACGCGAAACGGGUGCAGACCCGCCGCCUUUUUAUAGCUCCCGCCGCGAAGCGCGUCGAACGCGGCAACUGAUACACAAAAAUAAUCCUUAUGGCUGCAUGAUUCUGUAUUCACGCGCGAUGACUUAUAGCGUAUUUCAUGUAUAACUUUGGUGUUUCUACACCGAUUUACAUGAUUCUUUUACUAUAACCUGCCCAGGAGUAUGAAGAAUAAUUGUGCCAAAUUUGGUUAAAAUCCGUCGUGUAGUUUUUGUUUCUAUAACGAAUAUACAGACAGACAGACAGACAGACAGACAGACAGACAGACAAAAAUUUUACUGAUUGCAUUUUUGGCAUCAGUAGCGAUCCCUUAUCACCCCUUCAUAGUUUUUUUUUAAAUAUAUUUCAUGUACAGAAUUGGCCUCUCUACA